CAGAGGAGAGCUAGUUAUGUUCUAGCUGAACUACUAUCGAUAUUGGAAGGAGCAGGCACAGAGGGUGCUGAGUGCUUUGGCGCCGGAUUGGCACCAGAGUUCUGCCUCCUCUUUGAUUCCAUUGAGCAGCUGUGUCGGCGUUCAUUCCUCCUUGUUGAAUAUGCGGGCGUGUUCCGUUCUUUCCAGAUGACCAACAUGAAGAAGGAAUCGAGCCCCUGCUUCUGCUGCUUGUCUCCACCUGCGCGAAGCUA
rnacentral:lncRNA from 1 species